GAUGAACGCUGGCGGCGUGCUUAACACAUGCAAGUCGAACGAAUUUCUUACUAAUUGCGACUUCGGUCAAGAGAAGUUUGAAGUGAGUGGCGGACGGGUGAGUAACGCGUGGGUAACCUGCCUUACACCGGGGGAUAACAGAGGGAAACUUCUGCUAAUACCGCAUAAGACCACAGUGCCGCAUGGUACAGAGGUAAAAGUUCCGGCGAUGUAAGAUGGACCCGCGUCUGAUUAGCCAGUUGGCGGGGUAACGGCCCACCAAAGCGACGAUCAGUAGCCGACCUGAGAGGGUGAUCGGCCACAUUGGGACUGAGACACGGCCCAAACUCC
rnacentral:rRNA from 1 species